rnacentral:ncRNA from 1 species
AAAAAAGAGGAAAGGAGAGAAGGUUGGCAUUCCCCUUUUCAAGGAUGGAAGAGGCUCUUGAGCCUGACAACAAGCAUUUAGUUAAGGCAUUGCCACCUACUUUGUGGCAUCUAACCAUUACUAAAU